rnacentral:rRNA from 1 species
GCUUGUCUCAAAGAUUAAGCCAUGCAUGUUUCAGCAUAGGUUCUUGUACGGCGAAGCUGCGAAUGGCUCCUUAAAGCACUUGCAGUUUAUUUCAAGAUCGUUCCUUACAUGGUAACUUUUGUAGCUCUAGAGCUAUUACAUGCACCCACACCCGUCUUUGUGGAAGGGUUGCGUUUGUUAGUCCAGCCCAGGCUCUGCCUGGUCUUGUUGUAAUUCAUACGAACCGAACGAAUCUCAUGGCAUCAGCUGGCAUUGAAUCAUUCAAGUUUCAAAUGUGUCAGUUUCCGACGGUAGGUAUUGGCCUACCGUGGCAAUGACGGGCAAUGGAGAAUUAGGGUUCGAUUCCGGAGAGGGAGCUUGGAAAACGGUUACCACAUCUAAGGAAGGCAGCAGG